UACGGAGGGUGCAAGCGUUAUCCGGAUUUAUUGGGUUUAAAGGGUGCGCAGGCGGGAGAUUAAGUCAGUGGUGAAAGCCUUCAGCUCAACUGAAGAAAUGCCAUUGAUACUGAUUUUCUUGAAUCUGGUUGAAGUGGGCGGAAUACGUCAUGUAGCGGUGAAAUGCAUAGAUAUGACGUAGAACACCGAUUGCGAAGGCAGCUCGCUAAGCCGGCAUUGACGCUGAGGCACGAAAGCGUGGGGAGCAAACAGG
rnacentral:rRNA from 1 species